UGAUCGGUGGUGUAGUGGUAGCAGUAUAAGACUGUCGUUCUUAUGGCCCGGGUUCGAUUCCCGGCUGAUCAG